CAGUAGCCACGGUAAUACGUAGGGUGCGAGCGUUAAUCGGAUUUACUGGGCGUAAAGCGUGCGCAGGCGGCCCGUUAAGACAGGUGUGAAAUCCCUGGGCUCAACCUAGGAAUUGCGCUUGUGACUGGCGGGCUCGAGUACGGUAGAGGGGGGUGGAAUUCCUGGUGUAGCAGUGAAAUGCGUAGAGAUCAGGAGGAACACCGAUGGCGAAGGCAGCCCCCUGGGCCUGUACUGACGCUCAUGCACGAAAGCGUGGGGAGCAAACAGGAUUAGAUACCCGCGUAGUCCCUGUCUCUUAUAC
rnacentral:rRNA from 1 species